CGGUAGAAAAGAUGGUGUUUAAACCACGCCUUCUACCAAUAUAGUAAAUAAAUAGG
rfam:Potato yellow vein virus pseudogene, genomic RNA, isolate A